GCUUAGACAGAAAAGCAUUUCCCUUACACUGAAAAGCCCCCCGUGCAACUCGGAGUGCCCUGAAGCUUAACAGCUAGCUUAACCAAUAAAUUAAGACUCCCAUAUUUAUAGCACUAAAACCCGUACGAUACUGCAAUAAAACAUUAAAUAACUGAAGUAUAGGCGAUAGAAACAGAACAUAAAGCGACAGAUAAAGUACCGCAAGGGAACGCUGAAAUAGAAAUGAAAAAAAUUAGUAAAGCAUAGAAAAGCAAAGAUUAAUUCUUGUACCUUUUGCAUCAUGAUUUAGCUAGUCCUAUUCAAGCAAAAAGCCCUGUAGUUUGAACACCCGAAACCAAGUGAGCUACUCCGAGACAGCCUAUUUAAUAGGGCCAAUCCCGUCUCUGUGGCAAAAGAUGUGGGAAGAGCUCCGAGUAGAGGUGAAAAGCCUACCGAACUUGGUGAUAGCUGGUUGCCCAAGAAGUGAAUAGAAGUUCAGCCCUUAUUAUUUUUUAACCCCUAUAAAGAUAAAAAAAGGAUAAGGAGUUAGUCCCAGGGGGUCCAGCCCCUGGGACAGAAGAAACAACUUUAAGCGGGAGGCUAAGGACCCCGUAACAAAGUACCGGUACACUAGU
rnacentral:rRNA from 1 species